AACAAGGCUGAGAAUUUCUUGGUAGAUGUGCCUAUCAUUCAGUGGCUAUACGAGGCUAAGCCCAUGAAAUCUCACACUUAACCAAAUAUAAUCCACAAUCUGGGUACACUUUGGAGGGCAACAACCUGGUCCAUGAGGCAAGAAACGGAUCUGCUGAAUCGGAAUACUUGUCCUGCUACUCUACUUUCUCAAAUUUUAUGAUGUCUCUCAUGCUGAAAUCUUGAAGGAACAAAAGGAUACUACACAAUUUGGUCAUAUUUCCUAGAAGGAAAACCAAAACAUCUGUAUCUCAAAAUACUUCUCCAGCAUCUCCUUUGACAACAAGAAUACUCGUGAGUGGAGAUGUCUAAACUGGAGGUGGGGAAUGGGAAAGGUAGUUUCUAGCAUGGCUGAGAGAUCCGGCUGAGAUUUCCUGUCUACAAGCUGAUAGACGAGAGAUAGAAGCUGAUACAAACCCAUGUCCAAACUACAGCAAGAACAUGAGGUCUCUUUCUCCUCUAGGAGGUAUCCAUUGCAUCUGUAUAGAACAAAACCUUAAGAUUCAAGAGAAAUCUCAGAAAGGACAAGUGUCCAAAAAUUCAAGGAUAUCAGAACAGGGCUAUGUUUCAGAAGAUGGAGGACUAAUGAAAUGACAGACUUGUCAGAGAAAUGGGAAGGCUAACUCACUCUGAACCUGAGAUGAUGAAAUCUGUUGGUCACAAUGUGGGCAAAUCUCUGACAACCAGUAUGAAAUGGGCCGGAAAGGUCCAGUGUAAAGCAUCUAAGGAGGAACCAGUAGAUUCUGCUUUUGUCUUCAGGAGGAGAGCAAAGCUCCUUAGUGUAUGUCCUCUCGUGGGUAAAGAAUGGACAGGGAUUUGAAAGGGAUUCUGAAAUUCUUGCCUCAGACAACCUUCUACCCUCACAAAAACACAUGAAUCUUUACUCUGUCAUAUCCACAACUAGUCUCAGCACCAUAUGCUCUCAGUUCUACCUCCAUAAACAUUCAUCCCUUCAUUCUCCAUUCCGUGUUCUCGUUUCCUUAUACUCUCAGACACACUCAUAGGCUCAUAUCCUCACAUAUUAAACCUUCACACCCUCGUUUUGAAGUAUAUGCAUUCCUCAAAUUUGCUUUCUCUAACCUCAUCCUUUCAAUAUCACAAUCUCUAACUCACACAAAUAGCGCCACUCUUGUCGAACUCCAUAUUUCACAUUAACCAUGCAUGAAGCCAUCACAAUCAUAUAACACCUUUUAAAACUCCUCUCUGUUCCCUAUCCCUUAGUCCCUUCAUGUAAUUCCACACUCUAGGAGCUCACAUGAUCUCUCCUAUCUAUCCUUCAC